GGAGAGCUGGCCGAGUGGUCGAAGGCGCUUGAUUCGAAAUCAAGUGUACCGGCAACGGUACCGUGGGUUCGAAUCCCACGCUCUCCGCCA
rnacentral:tRNA from 1 species